rnacentral:rRNA from 1 species
UACGGGGGGAGCAAGCGUUGUUCGGAUUUACUGGGCGUAAAGGGCGGGUAGGCGGCCACCGCAAGUCAGUUGUGAAAUCUCCGGGCUUAACCCGGAAAGGUCAACUGAUACUGCGGGGCUAGAGUGCAGAAGGGGCAACUGGAAUUCUCGGUGUAGCGGUGAAAUGCGUAGAUAUCGAGAGGAACACCUGCGGCGAAGGCGGGUUGCUGGGCUGACACUGACGCUGAACUGCGAAAGCUAGGGUAGCAAACGGG